rnacentral:snRNA from 1 species
GAGGUGCUUGGUAACAAAUGUGGCCUGCACUUCUCCGCGAACAAGGGGAGUUCAAUUUGCUCGUGCAUGGAAUAUAUUACAACAGAAUCGUGGUACUCGCGUCCCGUGGUAUCCUCU